rfam:Gossypium hirsutum cultivar TM-1 unplaced genomic scaffold scaffold913.1, whole genome shotgun sequence
UGUUAAAAUUUUCAUCUAUUUACUGUUAAAAACUUGCGUCUCUGACAGAAUAACUAGACAAUGGCAUGUGACGUGCCAUGUGUACGUCACGCUAACAUAUAAAUGCCAGUUUUUAACAGAAGAAAUGGUUGGAAAUUUUAAUG